rnacentral:rRNA from 1 species
AUUGAACGCUGGCGGCAGGCUUAACACAUGCAAGUCGAGCGAGCGGCGGACGGGUGAGUAAUGUCUGGGAAACUGCCUGAUGGAGGGGGAUAACUACUGGAAACGGUAGCUAAUACCGCAUACCAUAAGAUGUGACCAGAGGGGAUAAGCUAGUAGGUGGGGUAAUGGCUCACCUAGGCGACGAUCCCUAGCUGGUCUGAGAGGAUGACCAGCCACACUGGAACUGAGACACGGUCCAGAACCCUACGGUAGGCAGCAGGGGGGAAUAUUGCACAAGGGGCGCAAUCCUGAUGCAGCCAUGCCGCGGGUGUGAAGAAGGCCGGCGGGUUGUAAAGCACUUUCAGCGAGGAGGCGUUACUCGCAGAAGAAGCACCGGCUAACUCCGUGCCAGCAGCCGCGGUAAUUC